CUAGCGCCUCUAGCUGAUUCAUAAUCGGAUUCGUUUCAGUUAACCGAUUUUUGACAAAGCAGCGCGUUGUUCAAAUCAGUGAGCGGACCCGUUUCCGUUCACAGAUCCGUUUCAGUUUAUUAUCAACUUGUUUUUAUAAUAAGAAGCCGAAACCUUUCCAUUAUUUGAACGGAUUCGUUUCCGUUUCCAUAGCACGUUUUUAGUAAACAAACUGUUUGCUUAUUAGAAUAACGUACGUGCUUAAUGUGAGUGCAAUAUUUUGUUUUCAAUAAUGCCUAUGUCAGAACAAUUAAGGAAAAUGGUUGCUGAAGGGAAAAUCAAAAAAAAAAGACCCAGGGCAGAAUCAUUGUAUGUGUGUCAUUCGGUGGUCGGCGGCUUGGUGGUUGGAAUCAUUAUGAGCGUUAAUAAGUGAAGAAGUGCUUCCGUCCUUCACAUUCGGUGACUGUCAGAUUCAAAUAAACAAGUGACAAGAA